CUCUGAGCACACUCCUUCUGAGUACCCGCUUAGCACCAUCAGCGUACCCGAGUCUGAUGCUGCUGCACCGAGUGUGUCUCUACCUGCACCGACUUCUGCCCUCGACCCCGACUUGCUCCUCACCGUUUCACCUAGUACUCUUGUCAGGGAGGAUUGACUUGCUACCAGUAGUAGUAGUAGUUAGUAUUCUGGCAAGGUUGUAGCAUCGUGCUAGAUAGCUACUCCUCCCAGAGUUAGUUUCGCCACUUAUUAGAGGUUUAGGCAGAUGCAUGGAGGUUGUCCUUUUGGAUCUUGUACAUAUCUGGAAAGGUCUUGUAGACGUAGCUACCCUUCCAGAGUUUGCACAGCCGUAGUUAGUCAGACUAGUUCCGACGGACUGAUUGGUCGGCAGAUAUACUUUUGUUCCAGGUACACGUGUAGAUAGCUGUGGUAGCCUGAUGAUGCAUGACAUAGAGUCAUAUGUGGUGUUGCAACUAUGUUAUGUGAUGUAUCCAUGUGGACUGGUGGACUUAUGCAUGUACUAAUAUUCUAUUACUAGAUGAUCUCGUGUGAUGCAGGCGCCAUGCCUCCAUGUUCAUUUUUUAUAUAUAUUUUUAUGCAUUCCUAACUCUGUUGAAUGGAAUAUUGUAUGUGAUGAUGCUGCUACAUUGCUGCUAGUACUUCAUAAUGACAUGUGAUGUAUGGUAAAUUUUAUUUGGUGAUCUCCUUCACUCAAUUACAUGCCUUGAUACAUCACAUUUUUCCUAGCACUUCAUGAGUUCAAAUGAUGUAUGUCCGACACUUGAUGCGUAUAUGCUUUUAGUCAUGUACGUGAAGAGCUUGUGUGUGGGCGUGCAUGUGCAAGUGGCUCUAUUUUUUUUUACCUUAUGAUUAAUCUCUUGUCUCCGUUAUGAUAAAAAAAUCAAUUUGUCUGACUGUAUUUAUUCUUUGGCCAACAACCAGUAAAAAAAUCUAGUAUGCCUUAAGUGCACUGAUUAAAGUGAUGCUCAAAGAAUAAUAAAGGAAGGUAAGCGUGAUGCGUACUGUUUGAGCUAAAAUCUCAUCGCUAAUUAAACAAAUAAAAUUAUUUUACAUAAACUAGCUAUCGUAAUAACCUAUGUCUUGCCCACCAGUUUGGUAGCGAUGGCAUCUAGUAGUCAGUCGUUCGAAGACAAUGGGAACCCAUCAGAUUUAGCACCUGAGUCGCUAAGGAACAUGGCAGAUUUGCUGUCUAGAGUGAUGUUACCUCCACCGCCAUCAUUACCCCCUCAUGCCUCGGGAUCCGAUCAACUUGCUCUAAUGUACCAGUGGAUGGAGCAAUCUCGUCGAGACUCUCUAGAACACCAAAAUAAGUUCAUGGAACAAAUGUUUGAUAUGAUCUGAGGCCAACUGACUAAAAACUCAGAACAAGGUGUCACGAUUGGAGACUUCCAAAAGACUAGACCACCAACCUUUUCAACUGCCACAUAUCCAUUAGCCGUAGAUGAUUGGUUGAUGGACAUAGAGCUGAAACUUAACACCGUGGGAUGCACGGAUCAAGAAAAGGUUUGGUAUGCAUCCCAUCAGUUAAUUAGUCCUGCUGCCACAUGGUGGAGAAAUGUCCAAAUUAUCUUACCAGAAAACCACAGUCACUUGGGACGAAUUUAAGAGGAUAUUCCAAGAUAACUAUGUCCCGCAAAGUGCGAAGGAAAUAAAAAGGAAGGAAUUCCUGAACCUUAAUCAAGGGUCUAAAACCAUCGCAGAGUACCUAGAUGAAUUUAACUCACUAUCCCGCUAUGCACCAGAGGACACAAAUACUGAGACCAAAAAGGUGUACCGGUUCAUAGAAGGACUGAACCCAUCCAUACAACUUAUUAUAGCUCCUAUAAAAAUAACUGAGUUCUAGGAGCUAGUAGACCGAGUCAUUACAAUCGAGAACCGGAAAAUCGCCGUAGAGGAAGAGCACAGGAAGAAAGCUAGGAUGGACCCAAGGUUUGCCGUGAGAAGUGGAAAUCGUCAUGUUGGCCUAGUCCGCGUGCCAAUGGUCGGGCCCAUCCGUCCUCCUUUCCGUCAAGCUCCUAGACCACCUUUUAUGCCUCCAAGAGCCCCUAUCAAAUGUCGCGUGUGCAAUGGACCACACUUGGCUCGAGAUUGCCCAAAGGCGAGUGUUGUUUGUUUUGGUUGUGGACAAAAGGGACACUACAAAAACCAGUGCCCAAGCAAGAGUCAACCACAAUCUGGCACAAAUGGAGUUGUCCCACCUCAAAAUAAGUGUCAGGCUAAUUCAAUCCAAGUACACGGGAAUGCGUCUACUGCCAACCGCGGGCAUGGUCGUGGCGGUCUCACACGUGGACCAUUCUGCCUGGCACAUAUGGAUGUGGCACAAGUGGAGUCAGCUUUAGACAUAGUGACGGGUAACCUACUAAUCCCUCCUGGAGUAGGACUAGUAUUGUUUGACCCAGGAGCAACACAUUCUUUCAUAUCACAACGCUUUGUUGAGAUGCAUAAUCUGGACCGGACCCCCCUAGCCAAACCCAUAAAAGUAGAUUCACCAGGAGGCCCAAUAAUUGUGGAGCAUGUCUGCCACAACCGUCCCAUUUGCAUUGAGGGCAUAACCUUUAAUGCUAGCCUAUUUUUAAUUGGCUUAAGAGGAUUAGACGUUAUCCUUGGAAUGGAUUGGUUAGCGAGUCAUGGAGCAAGAAUGGACUGUGUAGAAAAAUCCAUAUCCUUGUGACGCCUGGGUAAUUAAACUACAGUAACCAUCUACUAAUGAUGCCACGUCACCUUGAUUACUGUUGCUAAUCUCGUGUUAGUUUAGAACCGAUCCAAAUUCAAAUUUAAGAUCAAGUCGAACAAUUAAAGUUUUCAAAAGUGAAAACUAAAAUGUUGUAAAUAAGUAAAUCCUAGGUAAUAAUGGUGGAGAAACCUAAAUUUAAUAAAAUGUUUAAGUGUUCAAAAUAAUUAAAACUAUGGGUUAAAUAAUAAAACAAAUGCCUUUGGAAUUUUAUCAAAUAUUAAACUAUUUUAAUUGGGAUGAAAAGUAAUGUGGCAGUAGUUUAUUUAAAAGUACCAAUUUAGGUGUUAGUGAUAAUUUUUACUAAAACUAAAAUAAAAUAUAACUAAAAUAAAACAGAAAAGAAAUCAAUAAAAAGGGAAGAAUAAAAACAGUAAAACAAAGCUAACUAAAAUAAAGAGAAAAGGAACCCCCCCAACCCCCGGGCCAACUGGCCCAGCUGGCCAAGGCCCAACCGGCCAGCCCAACCGGCCCCUCAGUCCCCAUAACACCCCCCAUCGAUGGGAAACCCUAGCCCAUCGCACCCACGCCCCCCACUCGCUCCCCACGUCCCUCCUCCCCUCUCCCCCGAUCCAGAUCUGGAUCGGGGAUGAAACCCCCUCGACGUCGUUCCCCAUCGCGCCCGACCUCUUGCCACGUCAGAGCCCCACCUCGCCCGCGCGGCUGCGCCUGGGGAACCGUCGCCUGCCGCCGUCUCCAGUGCUGUCGUCGACCACCGCCGCCGCUCGAGGACCCGAAGCCGCCUGAUGAUGCCCCAUCGUCGUCACGUCCCCGUCCUCCUCCCCGCCGGACUGCGCCCGCCUCCCCGACGUCGUGACGACGCCUCGUCCCCGUCCUCCUCCACAACGGUCGCCCCCGAGCCUCGCCGCCCCGCUUCUCUCCAACGCUGGUGAGGCCACCUCCGGCCUACACUCCUUCCUUCCCCCACGCCAUCCCGCUCCGGUCACCGCUUCCCUACCACUGGCUUCGCCCCGACCGCCCCGCGCCUCGCAGGCCGUGCGCUGCUCGUGCGCCCGCCCAGGGCCUCGCCGUCGUUGCUUGCUACUCGCCCGGUUAAGCGCGGCGUCCCCCCGCAGCCGUCCAUGUGCCUUCGCCCGCCCCCACUGCCCGCCGCGGCCAUCCCUUUGCUGCCUCUGCUGGCCGCCGACACCGGCGUAUGCCGUGCGUGCCCAGCGCCCCUCGGGUGUGCGCCCGAUCGGGCAGCGCCCGUUCACCCACGCCCGUUUGGCCCUAUGGGCCAAUGACAUGUGGGGCUCAGCCCCUGGAACGUUUAAAAAAUAAUAAUAAAAAAAUAAAAAAAUAUUAAUAUUAAUUAAGUAACUAUUCAAUCAUGUUUAAUUAACUUAAUUAAUUACGUUUAAUUAACCUAAUCAAUUAACUAAACUAGUUAAACCUGUUUAGUUAGCAUUAGUCAAUGACAGGUGGGUCCCAUUGGACCCAUAGGCCAGGUUUGACUCUGGUCAGCUGGGUUUGACCUGCUGACAUCAUGGUGAUGUCAUGCUGACAUCACCUUUCACUGUUCUGGAUAAUGCUCAAAUUAAAUAAUUAAAUAAAUUCUAAAAAUGAUUUAAAACUUUAGAAAAUCAUAUAAAAUAAACCAUAGCUCAGAUGAAAAUACUUUCUACAUGAAAGUUGCUCAGAACGACGAGACGGAUCCGGAUACGAAUCCCGUUCGUCCGCCACACACUCCUAGCAUAGCAAACACGCAACUUUCCCCCUCCCGUUCAUCUGUCCGAAAACGCGAAACACCGGGAAUACUUUCCCGGAUGUUUCCCCCCUUCGUCGGUAUCACCUACUACCGCGUUAGGGCACACCUAGCACCGCGUAUUGCCAUGUUACACUUUGUGAUGCUUUGAUUGCUCUGUUAUUUAUUGUGUUCCCUCUCCGUUACUUCUUUCUGAUAGACCUCGAGACUGCUGGCGACCCCCAGUUCGACUACGAUGUUGACGACCCCUCCUUCUUGCCAGAGCAACCAGGCAAGCCCCCCCCUUGAUCACCAGAUAUCGCCUAUUCUUCUCUAUACUGCUUGCAUUAGAGUAGUGUAGCAUGUUGCUGUUCGGUUACUCCUAUUCUGUUGCAUAGCCUGUCAUUGUUGCUACAGUCAUUGAUACCUUACCCGCAAUCCUAAAUGCUUAGUAUAGGAUGCUAGUUUAUCAUCAUUGGCCCUACAUUCUUGUCAGUCUGCCUUGCUAUACUAUUGGGUCGUGAUCACUUGGGAGGUGAUCACGGGUAUAUACUAUACAUAUAUACAUACUAUAAAGAUGGUGACUAAAGCCGGGUCAGCUCGUUGAGUACCCGCAAGUGAUUCCGAUGUGGGGGCUGGAAGGACAGGUGGCUCCAUCCCGGUAGAGGUGGGCCUAGGUUCCCGACGGCCCCCGACUGUUACUUUGUGGCGGAGCGACAGGGCAGUUUGAGACCACCUAGGAGAGAGGUGGGCCUGGCCCUGGUCGGCAUCCGCGAUUACUUCAUAAUAACACGCUUAACGAGAUCUUGGUAUUUGAUCUGAGUCUGGCCACUGGCCUAUAUGCACUAACCAACUAUGCGGGAAAGAUAUGGGCACUCGACGUCGUGGUAUCAGCCGAAGCCUUCUUGACGUCAGCGACUGAGCGGCGCGCGCCGGAUUGGACCGCGUAACGUGACUUCCUUUGUAAUGGAGGUUGCUAGGUCUGCUUCAAGCCGCCCUCGCAACGUGCAGGUGUGCAAUGGGCGAUGGGCCCAGACCCCUGCGCGCAUAGGAUUUAGACCGGCGUGCUGACCUCUCUAUUGUGCCUAGGUGGGGCUGCGACGUGUUGAUCUUCCGAGGCCGGGCAUGACCCAGGAAAGUGUGUCCGGCCAAAUGGGAUCGAGCGUGUUGGGUUAUGUGGUGCACCCCUGCAGGGAAGUUUAUCUAUUCGAAUAGCCAUGUCCCUUGGUAAAAGGACGACCCGGAGUUGUACCUUGACCUUAUGACAACUAGAACCAGAUACUUAAUAAAACACACCCUUCCAAGUGCCAGAUACAACCCGGUGAUCGCUUUCUCACAGGGCGACGAGGGGAGGAUCGCCGGGUAGGAUUAUGCUAUGCGAUGCUACUUGGAGGACUUCAAUCUACUCUCUUCUACAUGCUGCAAGACGGAGGUUGCUAGAAGCGUAGUCUUCGACAAGAUUAGCUAUCCCCCUCUUAUUCUGGCAUUCUGCAGUUCAGUCCACUGAUAUGGCCCUUUACACAUAUACCCAUGCAUAUGUAGUGUAGCUCCUUGCUUGCGAGUACUUUGGAUGAGUACUCACGGUUGCUUUGCUCCCUCUUUUCCCCCGUUUUCCUCUUCUUCUCGGAUGCCGCAACCAGAUGUUGGAGCCCAGGAGCCAGAUGCCACCGUCGACGACGACUCCUACUACACCGGAGGAGCCUUCUACUACGUGCAGGCUGCUGACGACGACCAGGAGUAGUUAGGAGGAUCCCAGGCAGGAGGCCUGCGCCUCUUUCGAUCUGUAUCCCAGUUUGUGCUAGCCUUCUUAAGGCAAACUUGUUUAACUUAUGUCUGUACUCAGAUAUUGUUGCUUCCGCUGACUCGUCUAUGAUCGAGCACUUGUAUUCGAGCCCUCGAGGCCCCUGGCUUGUAUUAUGAUGCUUGUAUGACUUAUUUAUGUUUUAGAGUUGUGUUGUGAUAUCUUCCCGUGAGUCCCUGAUCUUGAUCAUACAUAUUUGCGUGCAUGAUUAGUGUACGAUUGAAUCGGGGGCGUCACAAGUUGGUAUCAGAGCCAACUGCCUGUAGGAAUCCCCCUUUCCAACUCCUUGGUCGAAGUUGAGUCUAGUCAAUGAAAAUUGUUUUACUAACUUGGCUGUGUGGCCCAUGGGCCUACGUCGCCAAUUGGGUGGUAUUAGGAUCUUUUAUUCCUCGACCUAUACUCUGGGACUCUAAUGUCUCCUCUAUUCGGGUUAAAUGAUUUUGCUAAAAAGACUAACUUUAGGUUCUCGAAAAUACUUUCUCCCGGAGAGCCCCUCCCUCCAGAUGAUCGCUUGCUGCACUAGAAGAUUCCAAAGAUACUCUUCGAGGUUUUUCCGAGACCCUUGUGCCCAUUGACUUUACAAUCCCCUACCACCGAUAUACCCUUAUGGAUAACUACCUACAAUUGUCGUUCAUACCUUCAUCCUUAGUUGCUCUUGUUAUUACAAGAUGCCUUAAAUUGCUCUCCGUUGUUCCGAAAAUCCUUUAAGCUUACUGCGUUGCAGUUCUUUACCACAUGAAUACCCCUAUUGAAAAUUCCUCGCACUUAUUGAGCAUCCGUUCAUCCUCGGUUGUUCGUAUGCUUCAUAAGAUACUCUGAAAUACUAUCCGACCUUCUGAGCAUCCUCUUCAAACUAUUGCUCUGCAAAUACUUGUAUGCUUACAUUAUGGAUGCUCCCAUAUCACUAGCAAUAUUCACUAGUAUCUUUUGACACUGUCAUUUUGAUCCUAUUGAUUCAACAUGUGUGCGAAUGCACACAAUCAUCAAUCGACCCUUCUAAAUUAUCUUUCCGGCUCAGACGUCAUUCUGAACAUGAGCUGGUUCUGGACCAAACUAUUUGUCGCCAAUUGUGCCUCUGGUCUAUCCAACUUAUCCAUCCUUGAUCAGAGUGUCUGCUUCUGAUCCCUUGUUUUGGAAAUCAUAAUUCCUUUGUUAUCUAAGCAUCGAAUUAUUCAGAUGUUCUAUAAUCUGAUGCCCAUGCAUUCUUUCUUCCUCUGAUUGAGUACAGAUACUCACAUCAGCUCCGUUGUGGAUCGCCCGAUCCAUUGUUGGAUUUCAUCCGACAUCGUCCUUCAUAUUCAAUAACCUUGUGAGCCUUUCCACGGGUGUAUAUUGCCUUUGGUAAAUUGUAUCCUCUGCUUGGCCAACCAUGCUCUGCUUUUGAGCUUGUGUAUUUACUUUUGAAACUUGUGGUAUAUGUUCUAAGAUGCCCCGAUGGGUUGAACCUAUGCCUUCCCUAAUCUGUGUGAACCCGGAAGUUUUCGCGGGUCAUACUCCUCUGGUAUUCACUAGGUAGGUUUUGACACUAAAAUCAUUUUUUUGGAGUGAAUGAAAGGUUAUGCAUUGGAGAAGUGGGAGUCGACCUUGAACUUAGUGAUCAUGCCCAUGGAAACGAUGUUGAGCUUAUCAUGAUAGCUUCUCGUAACAAUAAUUAUUCACUUAAUUUGAUCUUGUGUCUAUGAUUUUGUCCUUUGCAAUCGUGGUUCCGACCAUGAUUGUUCUUCUUUGAUCCCAUUCUCGGACAAGUUAAAAGUACUUGCCUUCUGCAGAUCAUUACAUCUGCCCAACCUCUAUUUGAUCUACAUUCAAGUAUUACCCCCUGGUAUCUCGAGGAUAUCAACCCAUUACACUACAUCUUAUGAAAGUAACUUUCCCCGUCACGGUCACUCCACGGGUUCUGGGUUGUCGUCAACCGAGAACAUUGAUUUGUGAAUCAAAUCAACACUGUGAUUCAGUACUUCUAGUACUUUGUUGUUGAGAAGUUUAAUACUCCAUCACGUCAUUCCGAGCCUGAUCGGCCACAUCAUUAUCGUGCUAAUUUAAACUGUGCUACCUGGUCCUUCCAGGAGCACAAGUUUUGAUGAUGAGCUAAGCUUACGCUGAUCUUCCUCGUCAUACCAUUUUGCCUUGAACAACAAGCUUGAUUUUGAGUUUGCAUCGUACUCGUGGUUUUAAUAACCUUUCGCGUCAUCAUUCCUUUGACUUGAUGUCAUCGCCGAUUGAUUACAUCUUCAUGAAAUCUCUCGAAAAUUUUGUUGUGAUCAUCAUCAAUAUUCCGAGCUCUUAUAGGAUAUCAAUUGAAUUCAUGAUGAGAAAGACCAUCCUUGCCCUUGAUGAUUAGUGUUAUCAUCGACCACUCUACUGCCUUCCCUCCAACACAAACUUGUUCGUGUUUUUGUGUUAUACCUUGAGUUCCUUGCUAUCCAGCGUUUGUUCUUCUUUACCUUGGAGUAUUACCAUCUUUUAUGUCAAGGAUGUUGUGAGGACUGCUCCACUUCUUAAGGAAUUCUUGUUAUUAUGAUACUUCUUACCCUCACCCUUCUUUCUUGGUCCCUGUGUUGAUUCUAACCAGGAUACCAACACGUGAACCAUGCUGCUUGGAUUCUGUACUUCUAGCAACCCUAUUUCUUUGAAGUUAAUGGUCGACAUUUCAUCCUUAGACCAUUGGUUAUCGAAUCAUCAUUCUAACAUUGAUCCUGCUACCUAAGCCCAUAUUUCGGGUGCACCUUUCAACCAGUGAUUAAUUGUGUAUGUUUCCCUCGAGCAUACAUCAUUAUAUCAUUUGAUCUGUUAAAUGUUAUCUCCUUGUUCACAUAAUUGUGGAAAUCCACCUUUUUGUAAAUCUCAAUGAAUUUUCGCUGAGCCCAUCAGCCACCUCCUCACCCUCCCCUUGAUUUAAGGAUGAACUCCUGCUUUGGAACUCGCUUCCAUAGUACAUUUCCCGAGAAUCUUACAAUGUCGUCUCGCCAAAUUGUGUUGCACCCCUUCCUUUUCAGGCAUCCUGAGUCUGAGCUAUCCUGACACCAAUCAGAUCCAAAUCUCGGGUCAGAUAUGAUGGUUUGAACUUAUUUCCAAGAGUUUUAACAUUGGUCUUUAUAUGACUCGGUAAGGUGAUGUCAUGCCUAGCACACCUGGCUGGGGAACCCAUUGUUAUAAUACCCCCUCUUUUCAGUAAGGUUAGCCAUUCUUCCAUAAGGGAAUUGUAAGACUUAUUCUAUAAGAUGUUCCUGAUGGAUCCUUGGUGUAUACAAAGCCUGAUCUUUGCUUGAAGACCAUGUCAGUGCUAUCUCGAAGCAUGUCUAUGGUACUCCGAUCUUCAACAAAAACAUUUGAAGCCCAAUGCUAAAUGUUUCCUGCUCGAUUAUCCAAACACCGUUGUAUGGGUAAUGUCAUGAAAAUUCUCUCCCCUACCUAAAGAGUUUACUACAUUAUAUUCUGUCAUGGAUAUCAUGCUCUGCUCGUCCUUCCGAAGGUUAUACCUUUGAAAUAUGUGCUUAAACACAUUUUCCUUUCCAUUGUUCUGUUUAAUCUGAUAAUCAUAUUUUUCUUUCCAUUUGUUGGGUUAACGUUUCUUGUGAUCUAUAUGAGCUAAGCAGUAAUAUUCUCCUGCUUAGGUAAACACCUCGGUUUACAACUCUAUAAGUGUGACCCUAUUACUAUUGCUGACGACAUCCUGGUAACCCCCGAUGGAUGAGAACUUUGCCUAUUGGUCCGCCUCGUUGAACGAGCAGGAAAAUGGUUCUCUUUGUCCCUCGCCCUUGGUACCAACGUUGUUGCCAACAUAACUGACAGGUUAUUCUUUUUUUAGAGAAAAGGCCAAAGCCCGACUUUAUAAAUAAAGCCACAUGGCAGCGUCACGAAUACCCAAGGUUCACACAGUCUCAGAAACACAAAGAGAAGUUAAAUAGGCCCAAAUUCCUAACGAAACAGGCAGCUGCCAAACACGGCACGCAGGCCGGGGAGAAAAGGAGACCUAAUCCCGCAAACUACAGCACCAGGCUUAUACGCCAUGAUUCGUCCUAGAGAUCUGAGAGGCUGAAGCCCGAAUUUUGGCGAUGAGCAGGUCCAGGGCGUCCCGAUCUGGCUCCUUAGUCAAUAAUCUCCACUGCUGCAAGAAUAUACAUGAUUUGAAAAGAACGUCAGCAGGCUUAGAUGGGAAGGUAAGAGACAGGUUAUUCUCUGACAUGCCUUGCUUACAUGAUCAUGCAAGAUGUCAUCCCCCUUCCUACCUUUAACCCACAUGGUGGGCCCAUAACCCACAGUUCCACAGGAUCGAAACCUGACUCUCCUGUACACCCUGUUGUCAAAGUUAUUCCUCACACUUGACUUCGUAUGUAAUUCACGAGCCACCUUCAGGUCUCAUAUCGGACACAAUACUUAUUCCCGUUGCUUUGACCCUUUCACGCCCUAUAACAGGCAUCAAACGAUUGCCCGCCCGCUCGAAACUUCCUAGGAUACCUCCUUACUUUGCUCUCGAUAUUUUCUUAAGUUUCAAUUCGAGAGUUACUUUCCGCCACCUUCCUCGAUGUUUUCGACCCGAUAGUCAACCUUGCCAAGGUCCGUUCUCCCAGAAUGCCCACCCUUUAUUCUUUCAUAAGUACGACGGAGUUCCUGAAGAAAGGACGCCGACUUCAUCAUGAUGACCUGAAGCAGAGAAGUGAAGACAUCAAUGCUAUGGAUCGACCUCUUUGAGAACAGCAACCAAGACCGAGAAGAAUCAUUAGAAUUUCGAAACCUAGUCUUUCCCCCUUACUCCCCUCUUAAAUCUCGGGACGAGAUUUCUUGUAGUGGAGGAGAAUUGUGACGCCCGGGUAAUUAAGCUACAGUAACCAUCUACUAAUGAUGCCACGUCACCUUGAUUACUGUUGCUAAUCUCGUGUUAGUUUAGAACCGAUCCAAAUUCAAAUUUAAGAUCAAGUCGAACAGUUAAAGUUUUCAAAAGUGAAAACUAAAAUGUUGUAAAUGUUUUAAUAAAUCCUGGGUAAUAGUGGUGGAGAAACCUAAAUUUAAUAAAAUGUUUAAGUGUUCAAAAUAAUUAAAACUAUGGGUUAAAUAAUAAAACAAAUGCCUUUGGAAUUUUAUAAAAUAUUAAACUAUUUUAAUUGGGAUGAAAAGUAAUGUGGCAGUAGUUUAUUUAAAAGUACCAAUUUAGGUGUUAGUGAUAAUUUUUACUAAAACUAAAAUAAAAUGUAACUAAAAUAAAACAGAAAAGAAAUCAAUAAAAGGGGAAGAAUAAAAACAGUAAAACAAAGCUAACUAAAAUAAAGAGAAAAGGAACCCCCCAACCCUCGGGCCAACUGGCCCAGCUGGCCAAGGCCCAACCGGCCAGCCCAACCGGCUCCUCAGUCCCCAUAACACCCCCCCACCGAUGGGAAACCCUAGCCCAUCGCACCCACGCCCCNNNNNNNNNNNNNNNNNNNNNNNNNNNNNNNNNNNNNNNNNNNNNNNNNNNNNNNNNNNNNNNNNNNNNNNNNNNNNNNNNNNNNNNNNNNNNNNNNNNNNNNNNNNNNNNNNNNNNNNNNNNNNNNNNNNNNNNNNNNNNNNNNNNNNNNNNNNNNNNNNNNNNNNNNNNNNNNNNNNNNNNNNNNNNNNNNNNNNNNNNNNNNNNNNNNNNNNNNNNNNNNNNNNNNNNNNNNNNNNNNNNNNNNNNNNNNNNNNNNNNNNNNNNNNNNNNNNNNNNNNNNNNNNNNNNNNNNNNNNNNNNNNNNNNNNNNNNNNGUCGUUCCCCAUCGCGCCCCGACCCCUUGCCGCGUCGGAGCCCCACCUCGCCCUCGCGACCGCGCCUGCGGAACCGUCACCUGCUGCCGUCCCCAACGCUUUCGUCGACCACCGCCGCCGCUCGAGGACCCGAAUCCGCCUGAUGAUGCCUCGCCGUCGUCAUGUCCCCAUCCUCCUCCCCGCCGGACUGCGCCCGCCUCCCCGACGUCGUGACGACGCCUCGUCCCCGUCCUCCUCCACAACGAUCGCCCCCGAGCCUCGCCGCCCCGCUUCUCUCCAACACUCGUGAGGCCACCUCCGGCCUACACUCCUUCCUUCCCCACGCCACCCCGCUCCGGUCGCUGCUUCCUUGCCACUGGCUUCGCCCCGACCGCCCCGCGCCUCGCAGGCCGUGCGCUGCUCGUGCGCCCGCCCAGGGCCUCACCGCCGUCGCUUGCUACUCGCUCGGCUGAGCGCGGCGCGCCCCCACAGCUGUCCAUGUGCCUUCGCCCACCCCCACUAACCGCCGCGGCCAUCCCUUUGCUGCCUCCGCUGGCCGCCGACACCGGCAUAUGCCAUGCGUGCCCAGCGCCCCUCGGGUAUGCGCCCAAUCGGGCAGCGCCCGUUCACCCGCGCCCUUGGCCCUAUGGGCCAAUGACAUGUGGGGCUCAGCCCCUGGAACGCUUAAAUAAUAAUAAUAAUAAUAAAAUAUAUAAAAAUAUAUAAAUAUUAAUUAAGUAACUAAUCAAUCAUGUUUAAUUAACUUAAUUAAUUACGUUUAACUAACCUAAUCAAUUAACUAAACUAGUUAAACAUGUUUAGUUAGCAUUAGUCAAUGAUAGGUGGGUCCCAUUGGACCCACAGGCCAGGUUUGACUCUGGUCAGCUGGGUUUGACCUGCUGACGUCAUGGUGAUGUCAUGCUGACAUCACCUUUCACUGUUCUGGAUAAUGCUCGAAUUAAAUAAUUAAAUAAAUUCUAAAAAUAAUUUAAAACUUUAGAAAAUCAUAUAAAAUAAACCAUAGCUCAGAUGAAAAUACUUUCUACAUGAAAGUUGCUCAGAACAACGAGACGGAUCCGGAUACGCAGCCCGUUCAUCCGCCACACACUCCUAGCAUAGCAAACACGCAACUUUUCCCCUCCGGUUCAUCUGUCCGAAAACGUGAAACACCGGGAAUACUUUCUCGGAUGUUUCCCUCCUUCGUCGGUAUCACCUACUACCGCGUUAGGGCACACCUAGCACCGCGUAUUGCCAUGUUACGCUUUGUGAUGCUUUGAUUGCUCUGUUAUUUAUUGUGUUCCCUCUCCGUUACUUCUUUCCGAUAGACCCCGAGACUGCUGGCGACCCCCAGUUCUACUACGAUGUUGACGACCCCUCCUUCUUGCCAGAGCAACCAGGCAAGCCCUCCCCUUGAUCACCAGAUAUCGCCUAUUCUUCUCUAUACUGCUUGCAUUAGAGUAGUGUAGCAUGUUACUGUUCGGUUACUCCUAUUCUGUUGCAUAGCUUGUCAUUGUUGCUACAGUCAUUGAUACCUUACCCGCAAUCCUAAAUGCUUAGUAUAGGAUGCUAGUUUAUCAUCAUUGGCCCUACAUUCUUGUCAGUCUGCCUUGCUAUACUAUUGGGCCGUGAUCACUUGGGAGGUGAUCACGGGUAUAUACUAUACAUAUAUACAUACUAUACAGAUGGUGACUAAAGUCGGGUCAGCUCGUUGAGUACCCGCAAGUGAUUCCGAUGUGGGGGCUGGAAGGACAGGUGGCUCCAUCCCGGUAGAGGUGGGCCUGGGUUCCCGAUGGCCCCUGACUGUUACUUUGUGGUGGAGCGACAGGACAGUUUGAGACCACCUAGGAGAGAGGUGGGCCUGGCCCUGGUCGGCGUCCGCGGUUACUUCAUAAUAACAUGCUUAACGAGAUCUUGGUAUUUGAUCUGAGUCUGGCAACUGGCCUAUACGCACUAACCAACUACGCGGGAAAGAUAUGGGCACUCGACGUCGUGGUAUCAGCCGAAGCCUUCUUGACGUCAGCGACUGAGCGGCGCGCGCUGGAUUGGACCUAACGUGACUUCCUUUGUAAUGGAGGUUACUAGGUCUGCUUCCGGCCGCCCUCGCAACGUGCAGGUGUGCAAUGGGCAAUGGGCCCAGACCCCUGCGCGCAUAGGAUUUAGACCGGCGUGCUGACCUCUCUGUUGUGCCUAGGUGGGGCUGCGACGUGUUGAUCUUCCGAGGCCGGGCAUGACCCAGGAAAGUGUGUCCGGCCAAAUGGGAUCGAACGUGUUGGGUUAUGUGGUGCACCCCUGCAGGGAAGUUUAUCUAUUCGAAUAGCCGUGUCCCUCGGUAAAAGGACGACCCGGAGUUGUACCUUGACCUUAUGACAACUAGAACCGGAUACUUAAUAAAACACACCCUUCCAAGUGCCAGAUACAACCCGGUGAUCUCUUUCUCACGGGGCGACGAGGGGAGGAUCGCCGGGUAGGAUUAUGCUAUGCGAUGCUACUUGGAGGACUUCAAUCUACUCUCUUCUACAUGCUGCAAGACGGAGGCUGCCAGAAGCGUAGUCUUCGACAAGAUUAGCUAUCCCCCUCUUAUUCUGGCAUUCUGCAGUUCAGUCCACUGAUAUGGCCCUUUACACAUAUACCCAUGCAUAUGUAGUGUAGCUCCUUGCUUGCGAGUACUUUGGAUGAGUACUCACGGUUGCUUUGCUCCCUCUUUUCCCAUGUUUUCCUCUUCUUCUCGGAUGCCGCAACCAGACGUUGGAGCCCAGGAGCCAGACGCCACCGUCGACGACGACUCCUACUACACCGGAGGAGCCUUCUACUACGUGCAGGCUACUGACGACGACCAGGAGUAGUUAGGAGGAUCCCAGGCAGGAGGCUUGCGCCUCUUUCGAUCUGUAUCCCAGUUUGUGCUAGCCUUCUUAAGGCAAACUUGUUUAACUUAUGUCUGUACUGAGAUAUUGUUGCUUCCGCUGACUCGUCUAUGAUCGAGCACUUGUAUUCGAGCCCUCGAGGCCCCUGGCUUGUAUUAUGAUGCUUGUAUGACUUAUUUAUGUUUUAGAGUUGUGUUGUGAUAUCUUCCCGUGAGUCCCUGAUCUUGAUCGUACACAUUUGCGUGCAUGAUUAGUGUAUGAUUGAAUCGGGGGCGUCACAAUCCUUGAGAAGCCCAGAAAAUAAACGGAUAACCUUUAAUAGUAGAAGAACCCGAGCGAAAUCAAACCAAGCCUCAGUAGCCACUUUGGACAAAAAGGAGGCUAAAUAUGUACCCGUGGUACAAGAAUUUUUGGAGUAUUUCCGGAAGAAUUACCCGGGAUGCCACCAGACAGGGAGAUAGAGUUCACUAUUGAUAUCAUCCCAGGUACGGCACCCAUAUCAAAACGAGCAUACCAUUUGUCCGCGGAAGAACUAAAGGAAUUAGGAAAACAAUUGGAUGAACAAGAAGAAAAGGAGUUUAUUAGACCAAGUGUGUCACCUUGGGCAGCACCAGUCUUAUUCAUUAAGAAAAAGUAUGAGGCUAUGUGUGGAUUAUCGAGCCUUGAAUGAGGCGACCAUUAAGAAUAAGUACCCACUACCACGGAUAGAUGAUCUAUUUGACCAAUUGAAAGGAGCCACCGUGUUAUCAAAAAUAGAUCUUUGGUCUGGGUACCACCAACUAAAAGUAAAGGAAGAAGAUAUACCUAAGACUGCUUUCAUAACCCGAUAUGGUCACCAUGAAUUCAUGGUUGUUUCCUUUGGGCUAACAAAUGCACCAGCAAUUUUCAUGAACCUGAUGAACCUAGUCCUCGUGCCCUAUUUAGAUAAUUUGUGGUAGUGUUCAUCGAUGACAUCCUCAUAUACUCUCGAAGUAUUGAGGAACAUGUUGAACACCUCCGAAUAGUGCUACAGACCUUGAGAGAAAAACAACUCUAUGCCAAAUUCAAAAAGUGUGAAUUUUGGCUAGAAGAAGUGUCCUUCUUAGGACACAUUAUAUCAGCGAAAGGGAUAGCAGUAGAUCCUGCUAAAGUGGAUGCAGUGUUGGCAUGGAAAUCCCCAAGCAACGUAACAGAGAUUCGUAGCUUCCUUGGUUUAGCUGGAUAUUAUCGAAGGUUCAUAGAAGGCUUCUCCCAGAAAGCAGCCCCUAUGAACAAAUUACUAAGGAAGGGAGUUCCAUUUGACUGGAAUGACAAGUGUGAGCAAAGUUUCCAGGAGUUAAAGAAACGGCUCACAACCGCUCCUGUAUUGGCUCUACCCGAACCAGGCAAAGCAGUCACAGUAUAUUGUGAUGCCUCUAGAGUUGGUUUGGUAUGUGUGCUAAUGCAAUAUGGGAGAGCCAUAGCCUAUGCCUCUCGCCAGUUAAAGCCCCAUGAACAAAACUACCCCAACCAUGACCUCGAGUUAGUUGCCGUGGUAUUUGCGUUGAAGAUGUGGAGGCACUACCUUUAUGGAAACCGUUGUGAACUAUACACGAACCAUAAAAGCCUCAAGUAUAUCUUCACGCAAAAGGAGUUGAAUAGGAGACAAAGACGAUGGUUAGAACUCAUUAAGGAUUAUGACCUUAGUGUCAACUACCACCCAGGAAAAGCUAAUGUGGUGGCAGAUGCCCUUAGCCGAAAAACCUCAUGCAAUCAUGUCAAGAUGCCAACCUAUGAUAAGCAUAUGAUACCUGAGCAGAAGAUGAUGGGAAUUGAAUUCAUACAUAAACUGGUUGAGAAAAUCCUAACCGCAUUAGCAAUCAGACCCGAUUAGUUGGACAAAAUCAAGGAAAACCAGACCAAAGAUGAGUUUAUUUGUGAGGAAAAGCGCAGAAUACAAGAUGGUCAACCAUCAGAAUUCUGAAUAGCGGAAGAUGGAUCACUCUGGUAUUAAACCCGAGUAUGUGUGCCAAAUAUCUUGGAUAUUAAGCAGAUAAUACUCCAGGAGGCACACAACACUCCAUACACCAUACACCCUGGUAGCACAAAAAUGUACCGGGAUGUCAAGGGUACAUUUUGGUGGAGAAAUAUGAAAAGAGAAAUUGCUCAGUAUGUGGAUGAGUGUGACACUUGUAAGAGAGUCAAGGCAGAACACGAGUGACCACCAGGCUUAUUGCAACCUCUCCAAAUUCCACAAUGGAAAUGGGAGGAAAUCCACAUGGACUUUAUCACCGGACCGCCCAAAACAAGAAAACGAGAGGAUAUCAUAUGGGUCAUAGUUGACCGACUCACUAAAUCUGCCCAUUUUAUCCCUUUAGCCCCGGGUUGUUCCAGAGAAAAAUUGGUUGAGCUAUAUAUCCACAUGAUAGUAGCUCUACAUGGGAUACCUUCCAGAAUAGUGUCAGAUCGUGGAUCUAUGUUUACAUCCAAGUUCUGGGAAAAAUUACAAGAAGCAUUAGGAACAAAAUUGGAUUUUAGUACCGCUUACCACCCCCAUACUAGCGGUCAAGUCGAGAGGGUGAAUCAAAUCAGAGAGGACAUGCUAAGGGAUUGUGUGCUAGAUUUUGGUGACUCAUGGAGCAAGCACUUGCCCUUAGCAGAGUUCGCUUAUAACAAUAGCUACCAAGCUAGUAUUGGUAUGUCCCCAUUUGAGGCCUUAUACGGUCGAAGAUGCCGAACCCCAAUAUGUUGGGUGGAAACCGGAGAAAAGAAACUCUUAGCACCCGACUUGGUCCAAGAGACCGAGGAAAAAGUUUCCAUAAUUACAGAGCGGCUCAACACGGCGCAAAGCCGGCAAAAGAGUUACGCGGACAAGAGACGACGUGAUAUACAAUAUCAACCCGGAGACUUUGUUUAUUUAAAAGUCUCACCAAUUAAAGGUGUUAAGUGCUUUGGAUUACAAGGAAAACUAAGUCUGCGAUAUAUUGGUCCCUAUCGAAUCUCAAAAAGAAGAGGGACGGUGGCGUACAAAUUAGAAUUGCCAACGCACCUACAAGGGGUUCAUGACGUAUUUCAUGUUACCCAAUUACGCAAGAGUGUAAAUCCACCAUAUGAGAGAGUCUCGGAGGAAGAAUUAACCCUCCGAAAGGACCUAAUGUAUGAGGAGCAUCCUAGUCGUAUUCUGGACAUCGAGGAAAAAGAAACUCAGGAGUAAAACAACUAAAUAUUGCAAGGUGCAAUGGGGAAAGCAUCCAGUGCGAGAAGCGACUUGGGAAAAAAAGGAUGAGCUUCGAGAAAAAUACCCUUACCUUUUCAAGGUGCAACUUAAAUUUCGAGGGCGAAAUUUUCUCUAAGGGGGAUAGGAUGUAAGAACCGUCAAAAUUAGAUAACGAUAACUUUAACGGCGUUGCCCAAACAUUAAUUAAAAUAAUGGAAACACCUCACAUUUAAUUUUUAUUAUAGCAAAUAGCAUUUGACCAUGCACAACAAAAUAUUCUCCAAAUCUUCAUAUGUUCUACAAAUUUAUAAUCAUAUCUUGGUCUCAUUUCUUUCACAUAAAGUAAAUGCCAACUAAUGGCCAGCCAAGCAAAUUACACUUGUCCCUAGUACAGCCUACAAGAGACACAAGUGGAGGCAUGCAUGUAAGCCUAACCACACAUGCAUGCCAGAUGUAAUGCCUCUCCAAACCGACAUAGCUACUAACCCCACUACAAAUAGGAGCCGUUCCUUUCACUAUGGUCCAUUCCACCUCACACACACACACACUGGAGUACCCCCACCACUUGCCUUUUCACCUUCUGCCACACUGCUGUCCUUCACUGCGGUGAAGCCCUUUGGAUUGCAUGCACCACCAGGUACUAAUCAAGUACCUUGUUGUGUUACCCUUUUUGCUUGAAUUCUUAUGUAUCUUCAUCUCGGUUUGAAUCAGUCCAUGAGCAUCUAUUCACCUUGAUCUAUUUACCUUGCUGUAAAAAGAACAAAAUGUUUGCAUAAACACCCAAGUUAAUCAAAACUAAUUAGAUCAAUUGCAAAAGCUUGUAAAAGUUUCUGUGAAUGACAUCUACGGCUCGUACUAGAUCUAACAUGCCAAGAAUCAAAUCCUAAGUACUAGAUCUAACAUGCCAAGAAUCAAAUCCUAAGUACUAGUAACUUGCUAAGACAUGUAUGUGUGUAUCCAAAAGAUGAAUCUUCCUGUGUAUACUACCUUGUUCUAAUUAUUAAUCCCCGCCAAUGUAUAGAAAACAUUGAAUGAUUGAUGUUUAUAAUCUACUCACAAGUAAUUAAUUUUGGAGCUUCACUGCCACUAUUUGCUUCUAUAUGGUGUUCAAGGAUGAGUAGCACUAGUUAGGAACAACAUUUAGAUCUAAUCAGUAGCAAUACCAUGACCACGCCAUAGAUUAAAUCUUGACUAAUUUCAUGGCCUUGAGAUAAACAAAGAGAAAGAAGGCAAUAUGGCUGAGUGGGCAAUAGUAGGGCCUGAGAUAAAAUGAACAAUAUAUGCACACCCACAUUGACAUCUAGCAAGCACUUGAUGUAAAAUUUGGAACACUUGAUGUAGAAGGAAUCAAAAUUACUCCCUCCGUUUCUAAAUACUUGUCUUUCUAGAGAUUUCAACAAGUGACUACAUACGGAGCAAAAUGAGUGAAUCUACAUUCUAAAAUAUGUUUAUAUACAUCCGUAUGUGGUAACCAUUUGAAAUUCCUAGAAAGGCAAAUAUUUAGAAACGAAAAGAGUAGUAUUUACCAGUAGUAGCAGUAGGAUGUGGCUAGUCCACACCGUUAGCAGCAGAGCCAUGCGACCGAGCAGCGCCGGUGAAGCCGCACACGCCCGACGCCCCUGGCUGCACGCCUCCUGCGUGUGGCUGCGCUUUGGGAGGAUGUAGGCAUGGAGAUGUCGUUGCCGCUCCAGCCGGUGGCAAGCCCACCGGACCUGAAUCAGGUGGUGCUAGGAUUGAGUGGUGGUGACGUUUUUGGUGGCGGCGGAUAAAAUAAAUAGGAGGAAAUGGUUGAGGGAGACGAGGAGAAUCUGUAGGUGUCCACCGUGUCGCCGGAGAUGACCAGAUGUGGCAGAUCGAGGAGGCGGCGGCCAUGCUCUGUUCUUGGGGAGAGAGAGAGAGAGGUGGGUGGCUGGUUCUGUUCUUGGGAUAGCAGAGAAGACGAGGAGAGAAACGAGCUGGGUUCAAUGAGUAAAAUACUAGUAGUGCAGUACUAGGCUACUGUUUCCUUUUUACUUAUCUUUUUUUACUCUCUGGGCUGGAUGGCAUACGUGCAUGCUACUCUGAUUUGGAUGGCUUGAUGCAUUUUAUCUCUCAAUGAAACACUAGGAUGUACGACAACCUAGUUAAUUAAUUAUGGCUUGCCCAACAUGACCGUGUUGCUGGAUCUUUAGAUUUAAAAUUAGGAAAUAUAAACAUGUUUGUGAAAUAAUUAUCAGGAGCCGAUCUCGGAUCCGUAGGAGCCACGUCCGGUGGUUCCGAGUUGGUCGAAGCACUAUUCGGCAAGUCGUCAUCUCCUUGACCAUGUCUUGAUAAAUGUUUUCCGGGCUAUGGGUCAUUUCCAAAAUUUUGCAUAAGAAUUAAAAAUAAAUAUUUUCCAUAAAUAAAAUGAAAUUUGGAUCAGGUGGAUCCACUGAUUUGGCAAUUGGACCAGAUCAGGUGAAGCAUCUGUAUUAAGUAGUUGUGUCCCGGGUAGGGUUACAAUAUAAAUAAAUAUUUGGUGGGUAGGGGAGCUCAUGUUGGUGAAAGCAACCCAGGGAGGGUCGGCUUGGAUGGCGGGCUCAUCUACAUAGGGUAUCAUAUUAGGACACAACCAACUGGCGCUUACUUCAAAAGUGGCGCAAACCGUACUGACCAUAGACCUGGAAUGGGAUGGGCUGAACCAACUACCCAUGCCAAGUAGCUGCCUCUGCAUGGGUGAGAAGGUGGCUGUAGCCGGGUAGGUACAGUCACCCUAGGGCGAGACCGCCGGUCAGGGGUCUCGACCCGCGGUCCUUUAGUAAGGCAAGGUGGAAAAGCAGAGGUAGUGUACGGGCUGGUUAAAGGUUCUGGUUCCAUGGUCUAGUCGUGUGCACGGGUAGCGCAUGGACGACUUGGACCAAGUGAUGCUAUGGGCAAAGCAGUACACCUCUGAUCAGAGUAAAUGUGAUAUCACUCCCAGCUUCCGGGUUUGGAAGUGCGUCGUGUGGGUUUUCCUCUCACACAAGAUUUAAGAUCCCACGUCGCUCUGUUGCCAGUAGAUUUUAUAAAUAAAAUUUGGUUUUCAACAAAAUGGGUUAAGGGAAAAUAUUUUUACCUACAAAGUAUUUUGAGUUAAUGGCUUGGUGGUUGUAGCCGUGGCCGAUAAAGUUUUUCCUCUUUAAAGACUCAUGCAUCCACUUUUCCCGGCGACUUGCGGAGUACGUAUUUUAUACGUACUCAGUUGCACUUAUGUUGUUUUCAGAACAAGAGAGUUAUGAGAACUCUGAGGCGAUAGAGAAUGGUACUUAUGAUGAGUCUGGUCAUCUUAAUGACUUCGGUUAUUCUGAAGUGGAGUAUGUUUACGAGGAAGUCAAUAAUCAAGGCUAUGAAGAGUAGAUGCCCUCCAUGGUUGGUCUAGAAGGCUCGUAACUAGAAGUGGAUGACGACCCAUCGUCAUGGUCGCUUAGGCUUAGUCGACGCUUGAGGUGUCAAUGUAAUAAAAGCUUGCCUACUCAUGGCUGCUGCACCGUCUUGUACAUGAUAUUGUUCUCCUUAACUGAUCCUGGUGCAACUCUGAAGUGACGGCUUCCGUUACGCUUGACUCUGUCGGACGUAACGGGGCAUCACAGAAGAGGUGGUAUCAGAGCCCCGUUAAGGAAACAGUCAUGUACUUAGUUAGAGACCGUCCGAGCCCAAGGAAAGAUAGGUUCGCUCCUUACCUAAAAUAAAAUAAGAGUUCUGAAAAGAAAAUCAUCCCUUCUCAAGUUCCACCUCUCCUAUGUAUAUAUACGUUUUGUGUAAAAAAUAUAUAACUCAAGUCAAGUGAAGAUUAAAUAAUUUAGACCACACAAUUGUGCAAGAAAAAUGUUUUUAUUUUUACUGUCCUAGGUAAAUUAAUUUUGCAUUGUGUUAUAACUAACUAAAUUCUUAAUUGCUUAAUGUAGGAUGACGAGUGGUAGGUUGUUUGGUACGGAUGCUGAGUAUGGUGGUUUUGCUCUGUUCUUGGUUAAGCUUCUUGGUCUUCUGGGUGUGUUGAUUGCACCAUACUACAUAGUGUUUCAUGACCCGUGUUUCACGACCCGUGUUCCACGGGGUACUUAGUCACGGUGCACAUUCCUGAGAGCUUAGAUGUCCCUUCUAGGUCAGUGUUGCACGUUAUGACUUUGUUUCAGCACUUCAGGGUGCGGCACCAGAUGCCGCUUUACACCUUUUCCACGUCUAUCACCCUCUCCUUGAGUACGUGGGCAGAGGCGAGUGGCCUCAUCAGUUAGAGGAGGCAGUGACCUCUUCCCAUUGUCGCUCCUUCGCCUUUUGCGUCCACUUCCGCUUUCCCUCCACUUCCACCACGUCCUCCUGUCUUACCACCCACAUUUUUACCACCACCAGCUCCGACUGCCGCUCGUCCACCUCUGUUCCUGACGGUUCCACCCACUCGUGUAGGCCGCCCAGCUCCUAGAGUCUUCAGGGGUUCCUCCUCUCGAGCAGUGUCACGUCCCUCCACACCGUACGAGCGUCCACCUACACCUCACAUUGUUCAGGACCUGUUAGAUCAGGUUGACACUCUUCAGAGGCGCUGCUCCGAGCUCGAGCGGGCGAAUAGCGAGAUGUCCUCUGCGUUGAGGGACUACACCCGUCCAGGUAUGGCCCUCAACCCUCUUUAGAUCGACAGCUCACCUUCCGCCUCUCUAGGCCAGAUAGGGUACCCGAUUGACCAGGAGUCUCCUGUCGCCGCCGAGCCUUCCUCUCAGGUUGCUCCUACCCUGAGUUCCGUUGUAGUGCCACCACCUCUAGAGCACACUCCCCACACUCCACCAGGUUCUCCGCCCUUCGUCCCUGCUCCACCUUCUCCUGAUGGCACCCCCGAGUUUUCAGUGAUCGGCGUCACUUACUCAGAGCUUCUAGCACUUGACUCCCGCCAGGUGUCUUCUCAGCCCACAGAGUACCUCGUGUCGCUUCUGACGUCACUCCCUCUGAGCACACUCCUUCCGAGUACCUGCUUAGCACCAUCAGUGUACCCGAGUCUGAUGUUGCUGCACCGAGUGUGUCUCUGUCAGCGCCGACUUCUGCCCUCGACCCCGACUUGCUCCUCACCGUUUCAUCUAGUACUCUUGUCAGGGAGGAUUGACUUGCUACCAGUAGUAGUAGUAGUUAGUAUUCUGGCAAGGUUGUAGCAUCGUGCUAGAUAGCUACUCCUCCCAGAGUUAGUUCCGCCAUUUAUUAGAUGUUUAGGCAGAUGCAUGGAGGUUGUCCUUUUGGAUCUUGUACAUAUCUGGAAAGGUCUUGGGGCCGUAGCUACCCUUCCACAGUUUGCACAGCUGUAGUUAGUCAGACUAGUUCCGACGGACAGAUAGGUCGGCAGGUAUACUUUUGUUCCAGGUACACGUGUAGAUAGCCGUGGUAGCCUGAUGAUGCAUGACAUAGAGUCAUAUGUGGUGUUGUUACUAUGUUAUGUGAUGUAUCCAUGUGGACUGGUGGACUUAUGGAUGUACUGAUAUUCUAUUACUAGAUGAUCUCGUGUGAUGCAUGUGCCAUGCCUCCAUGUUCAUUUUUUUAUUUUUUUAUGCAUUCCUAACUCUGUUGAAUAGAAUAUUGUAUGUGAUGAUGCUGCUACAUUUUUGCUAGUACUUCAUAAUGACAUCUGAUGUAUGGUAAAUUUCAUUUGGUGAUCUCCUUCACUCAAUUACAUGCCUUGAUACAUCACGUGUUGGGCCAGUAUAUAUGUGCUGAUGCUGCUACAUUUUUCCUAGCACUUCAUAAGUUAAAAUGAUGUAUGUCCGAC
rnacentral:lncRNA from 1 species